rnacentral:lncRNA from 1 species
CUCUUUUUGAUGAUCUUUACUCUAGAUCACUAAAACCAAACUGUUUAGUUAGUUCACAAUGGUCUUGGAGAUAUCUUACUUGAAGAAUUAUACUCAUUAGUCCUUUGCCUAGGUAGCAUGCUUUGCAAUUGGAUACUCUUUCUCGUCAAUCCUUCAAGGAUUGCUAGUUGUGUCGACUUGGAAGUUCACUCAAAAUGAAUAUUUUUUUAGUAGACUCCUACUACAAGUUUAUCAAUAAUUGAGAUCUCAUCU